rnacentral:rRNA from 1 species
GAUUGACGGACUGAAGGCUCUUUCUCGAUUCCGUGGAAAGUGGUGCAUGGCCGUUUUUGGUUGGUGGAUCGAUCCGUCUGGUUAAUUCCGUUAACGAACGAGACCUCGGCACUCCGAAUAGCGCGGCGGACGUCGCGGCCUCCGGGCCGUCUUCCGCACGAGCUUCUUAGAGGGACCGUCCCCCGCCGGGGAAGGAGGUGCGAGGCAACGACAGGUCUGUGAUGCCCUUAGAUGUUCUGGGCCGCACGCGCAUUACACUGACGCGUCCAACGGGUGACUCCCGACCCGAAGGGGCCGGGGAAUCCGCAAGGCGCGUCGUGAUGGGGAUUGAACGUUGCAAUUGUUGUUCACGAACGAGGAAUUCCUAGUAGGCGCGGGUCAUCAACCCGCGCCGAUUACGUCCCUGCCCCUUUGUACACACCGCCCGUCGCUCCUACCGAUCGAACGGUCCGGUGAGGACCCAGGACGGCGCGGGACCCGAGGGGCCGAAAGGCUCCGCGACCCGUGUCGGAAUCCGUCCGAACCUUACCGUUUAGA